AAAAUAUUCACACUUUCGCAAAACACACCGUUUUACAAACCCUAGCUCCUCCAGCAAACCAAACCACUGAAACCAGAAACCCCCAAGGCUUCCACCAUUUACCACUCACCUCCUUCAUCAACACCAAAUCUCUAUCGAUUUCAGGGCCUCAACCACCGCUAUGAUGAGCAGCGAUACCCUCCGUCAACACCACGACGACGGCUAAAUCAGAUCCAGAAAGAGUAAAUUCAGGCGAAAGUCUCACAAUUAACAGAAAGCAUGGAAUUCACCUUUAAGGAAAGCAUGCAGAGGAAGAGGAAAAAGGCACUUGAAGCACCAAGGGAACCUCGUCGUCCUAAAACUCAUUGGGAUCAUGUUUUGGAAGAGAUGAUUUGGUUGUCGAAGGACUUUGAGUCUGAGAGGAAAUGGAAAUUGGCUCAAGCAAAGAAGGUUGCUUUGAGAGCCAGCAAAGGCAUGUUGGAUCAGGCUACCCGAGAAGAAAAGAAAUUGAAGGAAGGGGAACAACGGUUGCGAAAGGUUGCACUCAAUAUUUCUAAGGACGUGAAGAAGUUCUGGAUUAAAAUAGAGAAGCUGGUGCUUUACAAGCAUCAGAUGGAACUUGAUGAAAAAAAGAAGAGGGCACUUGAUAAACAGCUUGAGUUUCUUCUAGGACAAACAGAGAGGUACUCCACAAUGUUAGCAGAAAAUCUGGUGGAUAAACCAUUGCAGAAAUAUUCUGUACUAGAUCAACAGAAUAUUCCACAUGAGGAAAGGCAGCAAAAUGAUACAAAGGAACCAGGAAGUGCUGAGCCUCAGUCGGAUACUGGAUACGAUGAUGGUGACUAUGAUGUGCAAUCAGAUGAAUCUGAAGAUGAUGAGCAUACUAUUGAGGAAGAUGAAGCUCUUAUAACUGCAGAGGAAAGGCAAGAAGAAUGGGCAGCUCUGCGCAAUGAAAUUGAUAUUCCAAUUGAGGAGCUACUUAAACGUUAUGCUUUGGAGAAAGUUAGUGGAGAAAAUACUCCAGAAAAAGGUGAAAAUGGAGCUAACCUGACAGUUGAGGGGGGAAAACACGCAGAGAGUGAGAGAUAGUUAAUGAAUCAUGUUACCUGUUGCAUGUUGACUGUGACUGAUAUGAGCAUGGUUAUAUGUUUAUAGGCAAAGGAAAAGAUUACUUUGCUAUCAGUGACACUGAAAUGAGCAGCUUGCCUUUUAAUGCUGGUCAACGUUGUGUGAAGUUAAUGGUGCCUUGGUCAUGCCAGAGAAUCAUUUAUUAGAAAUUGAGACUGGCGAAACCAGAAAUCAAUCAAAUGUUACUGGUGAUCUGAACAAAGAUCUAUUGCAUGAUUCCUAUGAGGAACAGGAAGAUGGUGAUUUUGUUCUUGCUAAUGGAGAAGAAAAGGAUGAUGAGACAACCUUGUCAGAAGAGGAAGAACUUGCAAAAGCUGAUCCAAACAAUACCAUCGAUGAGAUUCAAUUGCUGCAAAAGGAGAGUGAAAUUCCUUUGGAAGAAUUGCUUGCAAGGUAUAAAAAGGAGUUCAGCAAUGAUGAAGUUUCAGAGGAUGAAUCUGAAUAUACGCCUGCUUUGUCAGACAACUUGUUGGAUUCUCCAGAGCAUAAAGAUGUCGAACUGAAGCAACAGGAUGUGUCCAUGAAUGAAAUUGUUGAACCUGGUGAACUUUUACUGGUUGAACAUCAUCUUGUAAAUGAACGAGAAGCAGGAAAUGAGAAAAUUGCUGAAGAAGGACAUGAGAGUGAGAAUAGGAUUGCUGAUGCUGCUGCUGCUGCAAGAUCUGCACAGCCAACAGGAAAUACAUUUUCAACAACCAAAGUUCGCACGAAGUUUCCAUUUCUUCUCAAGUACCCCCUUCGUGAGUAUCAACAUAUUGGCCUGGAUUGGCUUGUUACAAUGUAUGAGAAAAGGUUAAACGGGAUUCUAGCUGAUGAAAUGGGACUUGGAAAGACAAUAAUGACUAUUGCUUUACUUGCACACCUGGCAUGUGAAAAAGGAAUAUGGGGUCCUCAUCUAAUUGUGGUUCCAACAAGUGUCAUGCUUAACUGGGAAACAGAAUUUCUUAAAUGGUGUCCUGCCUUUAAGAUUCUUACUUACUUUGGGAGUGCAAAAGAACGGAAAUUAAAGAGACAAGGUUGGCUGAAACCAAACUCCUUCCAUGUGUGCAUUACAACUUACAGGCUGGUUAUACAGGAUUCAAAAGUCUUCAAGAGGAAGAAGUGGAAGUACCUGAUUUUGGAUGAAGCUCAUCUGAUUAAAAAUUGGAAGUCCUAGAGAUGGCAAACUCUUCUAAACUUCAAUUCAAAACGACGCAUCUUAUUAACUGGUACUCCCCUGCAGAAUGAUCUCAUGGAACUCUGGUCUCUAAUGCAUUUCUUGAUGCCUCACAUCUUUCAGUCUCACCAGGAGUUCAAGGAUUGGUUCAGCAAUCCAAUAUCAGGGAUGGUAGAGGGACAAGAAAAAGUAAACAAAGAAGUUGUUGAUCGUUUGCAUAAUGUUCUUCGUCCAUUUCUACUUCGUCGACUGAAAAGGGAUGUGGAGAAGCAGCUGCCAAUGAAACAUGAACAUGUCAUCUAUUGUAGGCUUUCAAAGAGGCAGCGUAACUUGUAUGAGGACUUCAUUGCUAGUUCAGAGACACAAGCUACUCUUGCCAGUGCUAACUUUUUUGGGAUGAUUAGCAUUAUAAUGCUACUUCGAAAAGUUUGCAAUCAUCCAGACUUAUUUGAGGGUCGUCCAAUUGUUAGUUCUUUUGAUAUGGCUGGUGUAGACAUCCAGUUGAGUUCUUCUGUAUGUUCGAUGCUUUCACCUGGCCCAUUUUCAAGUGUGGACCUUUAUGGUUUGGGGCUUUUAUUUACUCAUCUUGAUUUUAACAUGACUUCUUGGGAGUGUAAUGAAGUAAAUGCUAUUGCUACUCCUUCAAGAUUAAUCAAAGAGCGUGCCAACCUAGAUAACUUAGAAGAAAUUGGGUUUCAACAUAAACAGCGGAAGAAGUCACCGGAAACAAGUUUUUUUGAGGAGAUUAGAAAGGCAGUGCUUGAGGAGAGGCUAAAAGAAGUGAAGGAACGGGCAGCAUCUAUUGCAUGGUGGAAUUCCUUGAGGUGCCGGAAAAAACCUAUUUACUCAACAACCUUUCGAGAGCUUGUCACCAUAAAGAAUCAGGUUGAUGAUAUUCAUCGCCAAAAGGUAGAUCAGCUCUCUUGUUUGUACUCUUCUAAGCUCGCUGAUGUUAUUCUUUCACCAGUUGAACACUUCCAGAAGAUGAUUAAUCUUAUCGAGUCUUUUAUGUUUGCCAUACCUGCUGCACGUGCACCAGUACCAAUUUGUUGGUGCAGUAAAACAGGAAGUUCUGUGUUUCUGCAUCCAACUUAUAAGGAGAAAUGCUCUGAAAUGUUGUUGCCUUUUCUUCACCUAUUAGAUGUGCAAUUGUCAGGAGGCAAGUGUAUUUUCCUGAUAGGCGAUUGAUACAAUUUGACUGUGGCAAGCUGCAGGAACUUGCAGUUUAGCUCCGGAAGUUGAAAUCAGGUGGUCACCGAGCAUUGAUAUUCACCCAGAUGACCAAAAUGCUUGAUAUAUUGGAGGCUUUCAUAAAUUUGUAUGGUUACACAUGCAUGCGUUUAGAUGGAUCCACUCAACCAGAGGAGAGGCAAACAUUAAUGCAGCGAUUCAACACAAAUCCCAAGAUUUUUAUCUUCAUUUUGUCAAUGCAUAGUGGGGGCGUUGGCAUCAAUCUUUUUGGAACUGAUACAGUUAUCUUUUAUGAUAGUUACUGGAAUCCUGCAAUGGAUCAACCAGCUCAAGAUCGCUGCCGUUGAAUUGGAUAGACAUGUGAAGUACAUAUCUACAGAUUUAUCAGUGAGAGCACUAUUGAAGAAAACAUCUUAAAGAAAGCCAAUCUGAAGCAAGCUCUUGAUGAUCUAGUCAUACAGAGUGGAGGCUACAACACAGAGUUUUUCAAGAAGCUUGAUCCUAUGGAAUUAUUAUCCAGUCAUAAUGCACUUCCAAUGAAUAAUAUACAAAAAGAGAAGAAUCAUGGCCAUGCAAAUGAGGCUUCUUUGCCUAAUGCAGAUGUGGAGGCUGCUUUAAAAUAUGCAGAAGAUGAAGCAGAUUAUAUGGCAAUGAAGAAAGUUGAACAGGAAGAAGCUGUGGAUAACCAGUAGUUUACAGAAGUCAUUGGGAGAUUGGAAGAUGAUGACCUUGUCAACGAUGAUGAUAUGAAGGCUGAUGAGCCCACUGAUCAGGGGAUCACAACUCAAUUUAAAGACAGUGGGGUGAAUUUAAAUAUGAAAGAGCCCAUUGAAGAAAGAGCCAUAACUUUUGCAGGCAAUGAAGACAACGUUGACAGGCUGAUGUCAGACAGAUGGCUGCAGCAGCAGCAGCAGCAGCUGCUGGGCAAGCUAUCCCAACGUUAGAGAAUCAGCUACGUUCUAUUCACAGGUGUGCAAUAUGUUUUCUGGAACUGUCGGAUCCAAUUAAGGUCAAAGCAGCCAUGGAAUCUGAAGUUCGGUUUGAGGAGGCAGAAUGGGAACUGGAUCAUAUUGAGAUAUACAAAGAGGAAAUGGAAGCUGAGAUUGAUGAUGAUGAGGAACCAUUGUUAUAUAACAUGCCCAUCCUUGUCAAUUGGUGUUGUGUUAGGCUGGAAUGCUGAUUUUGCAACUGAGGCAUACCGACAGCAAGUUGAGGCCUUAGCGUGACAUCAGGAAUGAAAUGCCAAGCAAUGCUAAACCUAAGUCCAAAAACAAACCGAAGAAAGCCAAGUUCAAAUCUCUGAAGAAAGGGUCUCUCACUACUGAACUGGAACAUGUGAAAGAGGAACCAUCAAUGGAAACAAUGUUCGUGGAUGAUGAUGUAGUACCUCAUGAGGAAGUUGCUUAUUCAGACAUGAUGUCACAAUAUCCAGUGUGCAGAAAAAAUGUAAGAAAGUUGAAACACUUGAUGUUGAAUCUGAAAAGAGCUUGAAGAAGAAAUUUAAGAAAUUGAGGAAGACUCCUAAAGCAUGCGCAUCAGAUCUAGAUUCAAGCUUGUCUGGUAAGCAGCAAGAUGAUUCUGUGGAAUUAAAACCAUGUGAGAACAUGGUUGCUGAUCAUGAGCAGAAGUCAGCUGUCAGAAGCAAAAUGGGAGGAAGGAUCUCCAUCACUGCCAUGCCAAUCAAGCGGGUCUUGAUGAUUAAGCCAGAGAAGUUAAAGAAGGGGAAUGUUUGGUCAAGAGAUUGUGUUCCAUCUCCUGAUUCUUGGUUGCCACAGGAAGAUGCAAUAUUAUGUGCUGUUGUGCAUGAAUACGGUCCACAAUGGAGCUUGGUCUGUGAAACAUUGUAUGGGAUGACUGCUGGUGGGUUUUAUAGGGGAAGAUAUCGCCAUCCAGUUCAUUGUUGUGAGAGAUUUAGAGAACUAAUUCAAAGACAUGUCUUGUCUGCCCCUGAAAAUCAUUUUAGUGAAAAGACAAGCAGUGCAGGGUCUGGAAAGGCCCUCCUCAAAGUAACUGAGGAUAAUAUUCAGAUGCUCUUAAAUGUUGCUGCAGAGCAGCCUGAUCAUGAAUUACUUCUCCAGAGGCACUUCACUGCUCUGCUUUCUUCUGUAUGGAGGAUGACAUCACGCGUUGACCGCCAACAAAACCUUUCAUCAUCUAGAAAUGGCCUCUAUUUUGGUGGAAAGUUUUUCAGCUCUUUCAAUCAGAUAUCCUGGAAUUCUGUGAAAGAACCUGCAAAAAGAAUGAAAUUCACUACUUCAGCUCAGAGUUGCAAGUUGUUGGCAGCUGCACUCCAUGAAUUCAACAGUAGACCCCUGGAUGACACAGUCUCCAUUUCUAACCGAAUUGAAGAUGCUCCUUGCAUUUCUGAACAGUUGGAAGUAACGCUGGAAUUUGAAAAGGAGGAAGGUGAUUCAUUGAUUCCAUUUCCACCUGUCAUAAAUUUGAUGAUACCCAUCACAGACCCACUAAGAUUCAGAAACAAGGAUGUUGGAGAACAUAAUCUUAAAGCUUUCACAAAUGUGGCUGAGAGUCGAUUCAAGGAUGCAGCGAGAGCUUGUUUUGAAGGCAGUCUGGGUUGGGCAUCAUCUGCAUUCCCAGCAAAUGAUGUCAAGUUGCGGACAGCUUCAAAGCCACAGUCCUUGGGAAAGCAUAAGCUGUCUGUCUCUGACUCGAAGCCACCUAGAUCAAAAUUGAAGAAAACUUCAGAGCGUGGUGAGAUGCAUAAUUUAUUUGCAGAGCCAGCAUUGCAACCACUGUUGACAGUUUCACCCAGGGACCCCAAUUUAAGGUUUGACCUUGCUCCAGCUGUCAUUCAGGAUGGGUGGACAAAUGAUAGAGACUCUUGUUCUAUUUCUUAUUUGGAUGAGGAACUUCCAGGGGAAGUGGGGAGCUUUGAAGCCAUGCCUCACGAUUACGUCCCUGGUUUAAUCUCUGGCCUAGAUGAUUGUUCGUUGUUGCCUGAAUAUACUGAUAUUGGGUAGGAUUGACCGAGAACUAAACUGCAAAUUCUGAUUCUCGCUUGUGACAUUUAGAAAUCAGGUAUUCUCACUGCAAUCCCAAGUAUUGAGUACUCCCAAAUGAAUUGGCAUGUUUUCAUGCUCUUGGGGGCAAAUGGUGGAUGACAAAAACAUUGAAUGACGAACAAGAGGAAUUCAGCAUGUCUGCUUGUUCACGCGCUGGAAAUUAUGGUUUGGUCUGAAAUGUUCUCUAGGAAGAUCGGGGUUAGGGAAAAUAGGAAUUGUAA
rnacentral:misc_RNA from 1 species